rnacentral:rRNA from 1 species
AGUGAACGCUGGCGGUAGGCCUAACACAUGCAAGUCGAACGGCAGCACAGUAAGAGCUUGCUCUUACGGGUGGCGAGUGGCGGACGGGUGAGGAAUACAUCGGAAUCUACUUUUUCGUGGGGGUUAAGGAAGGGAAACUUACGCUAAUACCGCAUACGCCCUACGGUGGAAAGCAGGGGUUCUUCGGACCUUGCGCGUUUGAAUGACCCGAUGUCGGAUUAGCUAGUUGGCGGGGUAAAGGCCCACCAAGGCGACGAUCCGUAGCUGGUCUGAGAGGAUGAUCAGCCACACUGGAACUGAGACACGGUCCAGACUCCUACGGGAGGCAGCAGUGGGGAAUAUUGGACAAUGGGCGCAAGCCUGAUCCAGCCAUACCGCGUGGGUGAAGAAGGCCUUCGGGUUGUAAAGCCCUUUUGUUGGGAAAGAAAAGCAGCAGGUUAAUACCCCGCUGUUCUGACGGUACCCAAAGAAUAAGCACCGGCUAACUUCGUG